CCAAAGAUCGAAUGGAGAGAUUCAACGUCGACGUGGUUAAUUGCCGUGUGACGUGCGAUAUUCGCGGCCUCGGCCGUGAGUACGCCGUUGCUGCGGUUCAUCAUUGGCCACGUAAGCGUGCACUUCUCUCCUAGUAGGACGUCGCAACCCGUUGGGUGUCGGUCUACGGCUCGCAAGGUUGUCUGUUGCUUGGGCGUUUACGCGUCUCUCGUGGCAGACCUGUGAUUGCCCGGCCGACUGCCCGGCGGUAUUGAAAGCAUGAUAGGUACUUGGCCGCAUUUAUGUGCGUCCUGGCCCGUCGGCAGGCUCGCCUCGCCCGGUUUCUCGGACUUUGCGCCGAUGCCGGGUGCUUGGUGUGGCUGUUAGUCGACGGUGUCCUCGGACUGGCUAUUUACCGGUUCGCGACGCUACUGCUUUGGGUACUUUCAGGACCCGUCUUGAAACACGGACCAAGGAGUCUAACAUGUACGCGAGUCAUUGGGACUUGUAUAAGCCUAAAGGCGCAAUGAAAGUGAAGGUCUUCCUUAGCGUUGGCCGAGGGAGGAUGGUCGGUCCUACGUAGGCCGGCUCGCACUCCCGGGGCGUCUCGUGCUCAUUGCGAGCAGAGGCGCACCUAGAGCGU
rnacentral:rRNA from 1 species